rnacentral:rRNA from 1 species
GAUGAACGCUGGCGGCGUGCCUAAUACAUGCACGUCGAGCGAACAGACGAGGAGCUUGCUCCUCUGACGUUAGCGGCGGACGGGUGAGUAACACGUGGAUAACCUACCUAUAAGACUGGGAUAACUUCGGGAAACCGGAGCUAAUACCGGAUAAUAUAUUGAACCGCAUGGUUCAAUAGUGAAAGACGGUUUUGCUGUCACUUAUAGAUGGAUCCGCGCCGCAUUAGCUAGUUGGUAAGGUAACGGCUUACCAAGGCAACGAUGCGUAGCCGACCUGAGAGGGUGAUCGGCCACACUGGAACUGAGACACGGUCCAGACUCCUACGGGAGGCAGCAGUAGGGAAUCUUCCGCAAUGGGCGAAAGCCUGACGGAGCAACGCCGCGUGAGUGAUGAAGGCCUUCGGAUCGUAAAACUCUGUUAUUAGGGAAGAACAAAUGUGUAAGUAACUAUGCACGUCUUGACGGUACCUAAUCAGAAAGCCACGGCUAACUACGUG